CGCCAGCCCGCUCAGAAACUUAAGGAAUGACGGGGGCCCGCACAAGCGGUGGAGCAUGUGGUUUAAUCGAAGCAACGCGAAGAACCUUACCAGGCCUUGACAUGCAGAGAACUUUCCAGAGAUGGAUUGGUGCCUUCGGGAACUCUGACACAGGUGCUGCAUGGCUGUCGUCAGCUCGUGUCGUGAGAUGUUGGGUUAAGUCCCGUAACGAGCGCAACCCUUGUCCUUAGUUACCAGCACGUUAUGGUGGGCACUCUAAGGAGACUGCCGGUGACAAACCGGAGGAAGGUGGGGAUGACGUCAAGUCCUCAUGGCCUUUAUGACCAGGGCUACACACGUACUACAAUGGCCGAUACAAAGGGCAGCGACACUGCGAGGUGAAGCCAAUCCCGUAAAAUCGGUCUCAGUCCGGAUUGGAGUCUGCAACUCGACUCCAUGAAGUUGGAAUCGCUAGUAAUCGUGGAUCAGCAUGCCACGGUGAAUACGUUCCCGGGCCUU
rnacentral:rRNA from 1 species